AUUGAACGCUGGCGGCAUGCUUUACACAUGCAAGUCGAACGGCAACGAGGAGAAGCUUGCUUCUCUGUCGGCGAGUGGCGAACGUGUGAGUAUAGCAUCGGAACGUGCCAAGUAGUGGGGGAUAACCAAACGAAAGUUUGGCUAAUACCGCGUAAGCUCCAAGGAGGAAAGUAGGGGACCUAAAUAAGGCCUUACGCUAUUUGAUCGGCCGAUGUCGGAUUAGCUAGUUGGUGGGGUAAUGGCUCACCAAGGCAAUGAUCCGUAGCGGGUCUGAGAGGACGAUCCGCCACACUGGGACUGAGACACGGCCCAGACUCCUACGGGAGGCAGCAGUGGGGAAUUUUGGACAAUGGGGGAAACCCUGAUCCAGCCAUGCCGCGUGUAUGAAGAAGGCCUUAGGGUUGUAAAGUACUUUUGUUAGGGAAGAAAAGCUAGUUUUUAAUAAAAAGUAGUGAUGACGGUACCUAAAGAAUAAGCACCGGCUAACUACGUG
rnacentral:rRNA from 1 species